AUUCCUUUGCUGCUAAGGAUAAAUCUUAGCAGUCGUGUGAGCAGCUUGUACAUCUCUCAUCCUAACCAGUGAGUGCAAUGCUGCUUACCAAGCUGAAAUCACAGUUGAGCUUUUUCCUCUUGACCCUGUUAUUUUAAUAUUUGGUGUGUAAUCAAAAGUACAGACGAUACCUGGAUUAUUACAGCUCCCCUCACUCCAGGCCUGAUAUAAAUGGCUUGGGGAGACUGUGUGCCCCUCCUACUAUUCCCUUCCUCCUGCUUCCCCAGUGACCGCCUGCCCAGCUGAAAAUGUGACAAUGCUUGAUUCAUGGCUGAGUCGUUCUAACGAAUAGGGCUUUUGCUGUGGUCUGCACAUCUGCUGUAUCCUAAGAAGAGCCCAUGUUUUAUCAAGUCUUUCCCUUAGGAAGAUCACAAACCACUUUAUGCACAAUCAUCUCUUCAUUCAGCCCUGUCACUUGGGAAGUGAAGACCACAGGGAGCCUUAGAUGAAGAGGCUGUAAUAACUAACUAAAAAUCUGGCUGGUACAUUGAGGGUUACUCCGUCCUCCAACAGAACAUGCCAUAUGCUCCUCUGUAAGCACAAGCGACUGAAUCCUUGAAUUUAUUCUUUAUCUGAAAGAUAGUUAAAAUGAGUUGUCAAACACUUUUGGUUCAGUAUCAUAGUCAAGACUCCUUUUCUUUUUUUCAAAUGCCGUUUGGGUAAUUAGGACAUUCUUAAGUAUCUUUAAUCUACUUAUCUAUUGAAUAAUUUUCAAAUUUAACUGUCAGAGCCAAUCAAGGAAGAUAUCCAAUAUAGAAAUGCCUUCAAUCAUUAAACUAUGCAUUUAAUCCCCAGAGCAUUUUAGAUAAACGUUUUUGUGUGGGGCAGGUGAACAAUGAUGACAGUUCUCCCUACGUGAACAAACAUGUGAACAUGUACGCACAUACACUGAUGUGCACACAUGUGCAUGCACACAAAAAUACUUCUAACUUUCUGAAAAUUGCUGCAAACUGUUAUUUUAUGUCACAGGCUACAGUGUAUGUAAACUGAGAAUAACAUUCUUUGUGGUUUAAUAAUGAAUUAAAUGAAAAGAAUCAGUUUUCUUUUUGCCCAAACUCCAGCCUCUGUUUGUUCAUCCAGUGUGGGUUUGCAGUGACCCCUGCUUCCCAAAGUCUUAAUUAUGUAAUCUCAUUCUCUGUGAACCACCUGUGAGGACCUCACCAUGGGGACGCUAAGACUUUGUGGGAAGUGUCAAGCGUGUUUAAAAAGGAAAAUUAUUUUUCACUCCUUUAAGGCUAUCAAAGAUAGAAAAGGAGUGCUUUCCUGUGUUUUAAUGUAUGAUCCUGGA
rnacentral:lncRNA from 10 species